UGGGCACUGAUGCCCAGGUUACACUUUUACAAGUACUGAUUCUGCUUCCCUUUCAGUUACAACAGCCUUACUAGGAGUUACUUCUAAUAUAAGUCUAAUCAUUAGAACCUCUAUAUGGUCUCCACCUGUCAAAUACCCACAAUUCAUUUUUUUCCUCUUUCUCUUUUUAUCUUUUUAUUUAUUUAUUUAUUUUGAAACUCAAGUAACCCAUGGUACCUGAUUAAAGCAGUCUUUAGUUCCUGUAGACUUUCUGAAAGAAAUGAGAUAUUAGGAAUCUAGAUUAUAUUUUCUUUCUGAUGCUUGCUGUGUAACUCUGAGUAAGACCGCUAUUUUUAUCAUCUCAAAAAUUAAAAUUUGCCUCUGGUAUCACAGAUAGAAUCUCAACCUUUGCAUGUUUCUUCCCCUGCUUUUCCCCCUCCUGAUCCUGCACCCACACAUAGAGAGAACACAGAAGCAGAGCCACUUACUCAUGGAAAGCUUCUUUUAUAGUCUUGUGCAAUCUGUUUUAAAAACCUAACCAGACUCCACCAUACCUUUCCUUUGUCAUCUCUGUUUUGUGGUGAUAUGAUUUUCUAUCACAGAAUGAUGACAUUAUUACCUUACGGGGUUUCUAUGAUGAAUUCCCAGAAAGAGUUUGGGGAAAAGGGUGUUAUUUCUCUUUAGCUUCCCCUCCCCCAAAGAUCCCUUCUGUGCACCUCAAACUCUUCAACCUAAUCUUAUUUUGAGGGAAAAUUAGUCAAUGGCUCAUAGGGAUAUGCCCCAGCUCUGACCUCAGCUCUUACCAAAACCAGAGCCAUCUCUCACUCAGUCAAGUCCAAUAAUGAUCUUCCACAGAUGCUGAAGCCCCACUUGAAAACCUGGGCUUUUUCCCCUUAGGAUUCCCCUUGGAGAAGGAGAAUCAGGGAAACCAUAUGCAGAGGGGUGAAUAGAGAACAGAAACCCCAGAGGCUUCAGCUUCAACUGUUCCUACUGUUUUGAGGCUGAGAGGGAGAAGAUCUAGCACUGUUUUGAGGAGCCACCUGAGGCUGGAAAGGGAUCUCUUGGGAUCUCUAGGGAGAUCUGAAAGUGUGUAGAAAGCGCUGCUGUUACUAGGAAAAUGCAGAUAUCAGUAACCGACAAACAGUAGGUGCUCAGUAUAUACAUGAAAUAAUUAAAUAGUUGAAUGAAAGAAUGGGCAAAACAGAAGCAGAAGAUAAGAGGGUGAAGCAGAGCUGGGUACAGAUGAUUUUCACCUUUCUUUUCUCCUCGGGUCUUUUUUAGGGUUGUUUUCAUUUUUUGCAGUUGCUGCAGGAUGAUGCUCAGGCACCGCCUCCAAGCUGAAGGGGCUUCUCCAUCACUUCACAUUUUCCACUUUUUCCAGUCUAGUGAUUGAUAGACUAUGAGUUCUAUAUCUCCAAGGCAGAGGCUCAAGAUGAGCAAGGCUGGAGAGUAAGAAAAAAAAGAAAGGGAUGCACAAGCCAAGGAAUCUGCCUUCUCUUCCUUCUGUUUUAAUUUGCUGGUGGUUAUGGGGUUAACAUCCUCAGGCUUCUGUUUUCCUUCCUUGUGAAUUACAGGUACUGUCACCCAGGCACCCUGAAGGUAGAUUUGUGAAAACAUAAGGAAAACACCAUGUUUGGUCCCAUCUAGGGAUACACCUUUAGAGCAAACCCUUAUUUCUCGUCAGCUCUCACCUAAACCAGUGCUACUCAGACUGAAUGUGCCCAUGAACUACCUUAUUAAAUAUUAAGCUUAUUAUAAUACAGGUUCAGAUUCAGUAGGUCUUGGGUGGAGCUCAAGAUUCUGCACUUCUAACAUUUCUGUACUUAUUUUGGCCCAGUAAUACUAGAGCUGCCCUGUGAGAAAGUCUAGUACUUUGAGCAGUAAGGACCUAGACCACGACUCUGGUGUCUUCCAGCUUCUAGCCAGGUCUCUCCCACCCUCAUCCCCUCACUGGGCACUCUAUCCUCAGCAAUGAAUCCCAGAGCCUCAAAGAUGCCAUGCUCUUUAAAAUUGCAUCUUCGUUCCUCUUCUCUUUGCCCCUCAUCCCCUUCACUAGAUGAGCUUCCUCAUGUCUCAGCUCCCAUGUAACCUUUCCCAUAAAACCUCCCCUGGCUCCCCAUCCUAUCAGAUGGCCAGGCCCCACCCCCCUCAUCUGUGCUCAUCACACUGUGCUGUUUCCAUGUCCAGGGCUAUUGCUCAGGUUGUGCCUGACACAAGGUUCUCUGAUCAAGGAGACAAGAGGGGGCUGAAAUCCAUUCUGUUCUCCACUUGCCACAUCAGUGGAGCCUGCGUGCAGAGCUGCCUCCACCAAGAAGGAGGGUGACUCUUCCUAAUUCACUCAAAGAUGCCAUAAUUUUAUAUCUUUUCUACCAGAUGUGGGGGCCUCAAGGAAGGAAGCAAGUCUCAUUCAUAUUUAUGUUUUUAUCUCCUAGCAUAGUGCCUGUCACAAUUCAGUGUUCAAUGAAAUGUUUGUUGAAUGGAUAUAUAGUAAGAGAAGUGAGGAACUACUAAGAACAAUGCACAGACAAUAAUUUUUUUCAGUUUUAGAGGUAAAUCAACUGAAUCGUAAGCAAGAGAUCUGGGAUUUGCUAAUACGCUGCUGAAAAGAAAUCAGGUCUUCAAAACCCCAUUUUACUAAAAGGAUGAUAACAGGUGUUAGUGAAAAGAGAUGUAAAGGCAACAAGUCAGCACCUUUAGAAAACUCAUGAGAACCAGCAGAGAAAUAGGCUGCCCAGGCUCAAUACUGAAUUGUCAUGUCUUUUCAGAUCUAGGAGAGGAUGAGGGAGUUUCUGAAGAUAUUAUUUGGUCAUAAGAAUUAGAAGCUACUAAAAGCAGCAGUUUCUGGAGUUCCCAUAGUGGCGCAAUGAAAACGAAUCCGACUAGGAGCCAUAAGGCUGUGGGUUCAAAACCUGGCCUCGCUCAGUGGGUUAAGUAUCCGGCACUGCUGUGAGCUGUGGCGUAGGUCACAGACAGGGCUCAGAUCCCGCGUUGCUGUGGCUGUGGCUGUGGCGUAGGCCGGCAGCUGUAACUCUGAUUAGACCCCUAGCCUGGGAACUUCCAGAUGCCACAGGUGCGGCCCUAAAAAAGC
rnacentral:lncRNA from 1 species